rnacentral:other from 1 species
UCCCAGUGCGCGUCUAGCAGGGAGCCUGCGUCCCCGGGGUGCCGGCAGCGCCGCCGGCCGGUGCUGGGUGCGCCGGGCCAUGCAGCGGCGGCCGCGGCGGAGCUCCGAGCGGCGGUAGCGCCCCCUGUGAGGCGACCAGAGAUGCCCCGGCCACUGUGAACCGCGCCGCCCGCCAGGACACGCUCAGCCCGGGACACGCUCGGCUCUGCGCGCCCGCGACAGGCACCGGGGCGAGGGAGCGACCAGCGCGGCGCAGGCCGCCCAGCGGGGGCGGGGGAGGCCGGCCGGUGCGGCGCGGGGCCACCUACUCGCUCUGACUCCGGCUGGCACUG